GUAAAAAUGAAAUGCUUUCAUUGUACAUUUCAACAACAGUGUGGUUCAUGACACUACACAAUGCAGACUCCAUGUGUUUCUUGUGAUGUGAACGAUUGCAACGAAUAAGGUAUCUGCCACGUUUCCUGUUUGUAACCGAAAACGUCGAAAGACGAUAAAAAUAGCAGCAACACUUGUGCACUUCUUGCUGAACAUGGUCACGUACAGGUGAAAGGUUUUAUCAGACAAGGAUUUAUUGGACAUUUGACACUAUUAAAUCAUGGGGACAGUAACAUCUCAGUGUGCAAGUCAACAUGUUGCUAUUGGUCUGACAUCGAUUGCACUGCUGAUAUCUGUGUGCUUAAAUGUUGCAUUCUAUUUAAUAAGAAGAAAGGGAAAAAAAUAUGCAGUUAAUGAAAACAUGUUGGAAUAUGAAGAUGAGCCAUUACAUCAAGAUUCACUUCGGUCUUACAGGUAAUUAUCAGCAUAUUGUUUGAAUCACAAGUUUUAUGUGUAUUCUCACAAAAUGGUGAAAAAUGUAAUAAUCCUUUUCCACAGCAGCAGCCCUUUGAAUCAUUUAAAUACAUUUGGUUAUGUCUUGGUCAGGUUUGAGGAUGAUGAAAUGGAAAGACAAGAAAAUCCGAUUUAUGGAAAUAUAUGUUUAGAGGGAGGAGGAGCUUUUGAAAUCUCUCAGGAGGUGUGCUAUGAACAAAUGUCACAUGCAAACACAGCAAAGCAGGGAUUAAAGGUCCAGCCAGGGGACGUGUCCUAUGCUUCUCUUGAUCUGACUGCCAAUAAAAAGCGUAGGAAGAAGAGAAAAUACCAAAAACAGGCUCAGACUCACCAGGCCCAGACACAUCCUCAACCUGCAUCCCAGCAGAUCUGCAUGGACCAGGAUGACGAGCCUGAUGUCACCCUCCCGUCCCGGAGCAGCAGCCUUCUGAUUUCACGUCACAGCAUCUACCUCAACAGUCAUCAAGUAGCCCUGGAGGCAGAAGAGAGGGAGAGGGAGAGGGAGAGAGAGAGGGAGAGAGAGAUGGAAAUUGAAAGAGAAAGAGAAAGAGAUGAUAAUGUAGAGAGAGAGUUUGAUAUGCACAGAAAUGUGCAUGAAGGCUUUGAUCACUCCCUCGGUAGAUCAAGACAAAGUCUAAAACUGGACAGUUAA
ensembl:lncRNA